rnacentral:rRNA from 1 species
UACCAGCACCCCGAGUGGUCGGGACGAUUAUUUGGGCCUAAAGCAUCCGUAGCCGGUUUUACAAGUCCUCCGUUAAAUCCAGCUGCUUAACAGAUGGGCUGCGGAGGAUACUAUAAGACUAGGAGGCAGGAGAGGCAAGCGGUACUCAGUGGGUAGGGGUAAAAUCCGUUGAUCAUGAAGACCACCAGUGGCGAAGGCGGCUUGCCAGAAUGCGCUCGACGGUGAGGGAUGAAAGCUGGGGGAGCAAACCGGG